UUCGAGGACGCUUGCAAUGGCGUAAAAUGGAGUCUAUUAACCUGUGAUGUUGAUACGAUUGUUUUUAAUCACAAAAAGCUUUUCAUGGAAUUAAAAUGGCUGGUAAAGUGUGGAAUUCAGAAUUAUGGAAAGCAUGGGAUAAACAUGGGAAAAAUGAUUUCCUCAAGUUAAUCAAGCACAAAUUUAAGGAAGGCAACACUACAGAAUGGAGAAGAGGAUUAUACGAAUUAAUAUCGAAUGGAAUCCGUGGGAACAUAAAGAGGGACAAUGUAGUCCAGACAUUAGGUGAACUGAUGAAUAUCGAUGGGGCAAUACCAUCCGCGAUAGUAGAUAUAUUUACGUUAAUAGAUGUGGAAGCACAUAACGAAGAAAGAAAUAACUUUUAUUAUAUCGUGAAAGAAGCAGAAAAGUUUCUAACAGAUAGGAUAUUAAAGGAAAGAUUAGAAAUCGAUACCUUACAAGACGUAGGAACCCUGAAGAAUAAGAAUUUCCAAACCAAAUUUAUCAAAGUGAAGACAAAAUUGUAUUAUAAACAACGUAAAUUUAACUUAUUUAGAGAAGAAAGCGAAGGUUAUUCUAAACUUAUAGUGGAAUUGAAUCAGGAACGUCCGGAAAAUGAAGUACCAUCGAUACUAGAAAUUGUUAAAUCUCUCAUUGGAUAUUUCAAUUUAGACCCUAAUAGAGUACUCGACAUUUUAUUAGAAACUUUUGAAAAUCGACCUCAGGACGAUGCACUUUUUAUUCCUUUAAUUCGUUCGUAUAUGAGCGACCAGCAGGUGCUCUGUGAAGUUUUAGGAUUUAAAUAUUGUUGUACCGUCAAUGCUACUCCGUUUUCAUUACAAAAAGUUACUGCGCUAAUGUUGCAACACGGUGUCAUCAAAUUGGACGAUAUAUUGCCAUGGUUAGUGCCAGACGAUAGGACUAUUAUCAAAGAACACGAGCACGCGAUGAAACUAGCGAAAGAAUAUGUUCGCAAAUUGAGCAUAAUCUCUACUAAAGAUAAAGAAGAAGUCUUGGAGGAGAAAGAGAACCUACAGGAUAAGUAUUCGAGUAAUCAAAAGUUCGGAUUAUGCGAAGCGCUUUUAGAAAUAGGAGCUUGGGAGGUGGCACAAAACUUAUUCGGUAGAUUACCAGAACACAGUCUCACAGAUCAGCGUCCUAUCGCGUUAGCGUUGUGUAAGAUGAUACAGGCUCUCAUCGAACCCGUUUACCGCAAAUAUUGCAUCAUAUCGCCAAAAAUACAAGGCAGAAGAAUUCCUCCGUUGAAGAGCUCUCUCGCACCAAAAUCCUUAGAAAAUCUCGAACAUAUACACGAUCAGCUGUUACCAAUGCUCAUAGUUCUCGGUCCCAAUUUACACCACGACCCUGUUUUAAUGUACAAAAUCAUGAGAUUAUGUCACGUGGUUAUCAAGCAGUGUCCAUUGGACUCGAACAAGCAGCCCGUCGACAAAAACAACAAUCUCUACUACGAUGUACUGACUAUCCUCGACGUGGCGCUGUUACCCUCAUUGUCUUUCAUGGAUUGCAAUUGUUGCGUCGCGGAAGAAUUAUGGAACAUUCUAAAAUAUUAUCCAUAUCAAAAUCGAUAUUGCUUGUACGCUCGCUGGAAGAACGACACACCAUUGCAGCACGCUGCUCUUCUGCGGAAAAGAGCCGACGCGCAGAAGAUGAUCAAAUCUAUCAUGAAGAGAGUGAGCAAGGAAACUAUCAAACCUGUGGGAAGAUCGAUAGGGAAAUUGACUCAUUCGUCGCCUGGUGUAUUAUUCGAUUACGUUCUUAUACAGAUUCAGUUGUACGAUAAUCUCAUAGGACCUGUUGUAGAUUCUUUAAAAUACCUGACGAAUAUUUCGUACGAUGUACUCGGUUACUGUCUCGUGGAAGCUUUGGCAGGCGCGGAUAGAGAUAGAUUUAAGCACGACGGCACCAGCAUAUCCCUCUGGCUCCAAUCUCUUGCUUCCUUCUGUGGAGCCAUAUUCAAGAAAUAUAAUAUCGAACUCACCGGUCUGUUGCAAUACGUAGCCAACCAACUUAAAGCACAAAAAAGCUUAGAUUUGUUAAUAUUGAAAGAGAUAGUACAAAAAAUGGCAGGCAUCGAAGCCGCGGAGGAGAUGACUUCGGAUCAGUUGGAUGCCAUGGCGGGAGGAGAUUUAUUGAAGAACGAGGCUGGUUACUUUAGUCAAGUACGUAACACAAAGAAAUCAUCUCAACGAUUGAAAGAAGCUCUCGCCGAACACGAUCUCGCUGUAGCUCUGUGUCUUCUGAUGGCGCAACAGAAACAUUGCGUCGUGUACAGAGAAACGGAUAAAUCUCACCUAAAACUCGUUGGAAAGUUAUACGAUCAGUGUCAAGACACGUUAGUUCAAUUCGGAACGUUCUUGGGUUCGACGAUGACGGUUGACGAGUACGUGGAGAGACUUCCCUCCAUACAUUCUAUGCUCCAGGACAAUCACAUACAUUCUGACGUUGCAUUUUUCCUCGCGAGACCCAUGUUCGCCCACGCUAUUAACAUUAAAUACGACGCGCUGCGUAAGGCAGACCCAAACUACAAGAAGAUGUCGACUACUAUGAAGCAAGCGAAAUACGCAGAAGCUGCGCAAGCAGUCAUGGCGCCUGUCGCGCAGUCCGUUAGACCUUUGCACCCCUUGAAAGUAUGGGAAGACAUUUCGCCGCAAUUCUUGGUGACAUUCUGGUCGCUGUCCAUGUACGAUUUGUACGUCCCUGUUGAAAGUUAUCAGCGCGAAAUUAACAAGCUGAAGCAACUCGCGAUACAGAGUGCUGACUCGAAGGACGUGAAUGUUAGUAAAGGAAAAAAGGAACAGGAGAGAUACACUACGUUGAUUGAGAAAUUGCAAGAUGAAAGGAGAAAACAGGAAGAACACGUUGAAAAAGUAUUCGCGUAUCUGAGACAAGAAAAGGAUUCGUGGUUCUUAUCUCGGAGCGCCAAAUCAGCAAAGAACGAAACGAUAACCCAAUUUCUACAACUGUGCCUGUUUCCUCGCUGUACAUUUACCACUGUGGAUGCCAUGUAUUGUGCAAAGUUCGUUCACACUAUACAUUCAUUAAAGACUGCGAAUUUUUCGACGCUUCUUUGCUACGACAGACUUUUCUGUGAUAUAACGUAUUCAGUUACCUCGUGCACCGAGAACGAAGCGAAUCGUUACGGAAGAUUUUUAUGCGCCAUGUUGGAGACAGUAAUGAGAUGGCAUUCGGAGAAAGCCAUAUUCGAUAAGGAAUGCAGCAACUAUCCUGGAUUCGUGACAAAGUUCCGAGUUAGCAAUCAAUUCUCCGAAGCGAACGAUAUGGUAGGAUUCGAGAAUUACAGACACGUCUGUCACAAGUGGCACUACAAAAUUACCAAGGCUAUAGUAGUCUGCUUGGACUCUAAGGAUUAUGUACAAAUAAGAAACUCUUUAAUAAUACUAAUAAAAAUAUUGCCACACUUUCCUGUAUUGGCCAAACUAUCCCAAAUCCUCGAACGUAAAGUCGAGAAGGUCAGAGAAGAGGAACGCGGACAACGUCAGGAUUUACAUGUCCUGGCCACUUCCUACAGUGGCCAACUGAAAGCCAAAACCCCGAAUAUGAUUCGCGAAGCAGACUUUCAUCACGUGGGAGAUAAGGCGGGAAAGACGCAAGAUGCUCCAAGCAACGAUGUGUCGGAAAAAGUCGGCGACGGAAUGUCGAGUAAAGAGAUCACCAACGGCGACACUCGAAUGGAAAAGGAAAAUAAGGAUCAGCGGGAGAAACGAAGCGCGUCGAAUCAAAUACAUCACGAAAGUUCCGAGAAAAUCAGGAAGAAAGACGAGAGCAAGGAGAGUUCGGAUGGAAAGGACAAGCACGCGAAAAAGGAGGAAAUUAAGGAAGACGAUCCUAUAGAUAAAAAGGAUAGAAAAUAUUAUAAAGAAGAACAUUAUUACAGCAGCGGAGUAGACAAUUUAGAUCGAGAUCUUUCUAGCGUAUCAAACAGUAGCGCUAGUUCUGGACCAACGCAGGAUGGAUCUGACAGAGAUGCAAAAAGGAGAAAAGUUGAGAGCAUACAGAAGCAGGAAGGCAGACGCGCAGAAGGCAAUUUAGACAAGAAGGAGCGUUCGAGUAAGGGGAAAAUAAGGGACGAACAAAAAGAACUGCGCAAAGAAAAGAAAUUGGGUCGGAAAAGGGACAGGGCAGACGAUUCAGCCGUCACAACCGAACAGAAAAGAAGAAAAGACGACGAAAGAGCCAAAGGAGCGCAUCAAAACGGCGAUAUUCCAGAACACAGAGAAAAACAUCAUUAUAAUAAGUUGAUAAAGACGUCCGCUUCGAGUACAUUGAAAAGACGAAAUGGGAGACAAUAGCAAAGACCAGAAAAAAUAGGAAAAGUCACCCUACACAAAGGAACGUACUCAUGAACGGGAAGGACGUGAAAAUCGAGAUAAACAUAGGAGGAGUUCGGAUCCCAAACGAAGAUGAUGUACAACAAUGGACAAAAUUUGACUUAACAUUUUAUAUACUACGUUUGGUGUUGCAUGUAUUAAGGUAGAAUUCAAAUAAUAAAGAAAAAUAGAGAUUAAUUUGUAUAUUAUAUUAACGUCCAAUUUUAUAAAAUAAACUAGAUAACAAAAGUU